rnacentral:siRNA from 1 species
GCGGAUGAACAGUAAGAUGUGCU